UUGUAGUCUAGAGAAGCAUCAUCCGUGCUGGACCAUGUACAAGUCUCUUGGAACAGAGCGUCAUAGAGGGUGAGAAUCCCGUCCUUGACAUGGACUCCCAGUGCUUUGUGUUGUGCUCUCAACGAGUCGAGUUGUUUGGGAAUGCAGCUCAAGAUGGGUGGUAAAUUCCAUCUAAAGCUAAAUAUUGGCGAGAGACCGAUAGCGAACAAGUACCGUGAGGGAAAGAUGAAAAGCACUUUGGAGAGAGAGUUAAACAGUACGUGAAAUUGUUGAAAUGGAAACGCUUGAAGUCAGUCGCGUUCUCUGGGAUUCAGCCUUGCUUCUGCUUGGUGCAUUUCCUAGUUUACGGGCCC
rnacentral:rRNA from 1 species